GACGAACGCUGGCGGCGUGCCUAAUACAUGCAAGUAGAACGCUGAAGAGAGGAGCUUACUCUUCUUGGAUGAGUUGCGAACGGGUGAGUAACGCGUAGGUAACCUGCCUUGUAGCGGGGGAUAACUAUUGGAAACGAUAGCUAAUACCGCAUAACAAUGGAUGACACAUGUCAUUUAUUUGAAAGGGGCAAUUGCUCCACUACAAGAUGGACCUGCGUUGUAUUAGCUAGUAGGUGAGGUAAUGGCUCACCUAGGCGACGAUACAUAGCCGACCUGAGAGGGUGAUCGGCCACACUGGGACUGAGACACGGCCCAGACUCCUACGGGAGGCAGCAGUAGGGAAUCUUCGGCAAUGGGGGCAACCCUGACCGAGCAGCGCCGCGUGAGUGAAGAAGGUUUUCGGAUCGUAAAGCUCUGUUGUAAGUCAAGAACGGGUGUGAGAGUGGAAAGUUCACACUGUGACGGUAGCUUACCAGAAAGGGACGGCUAACUACGUG
rnacentral:rRNA from 1 species